UACGUAGGGCGCAAGCGUUAUCCGGAAUUAUUGGGCGUAAAGAGCUCGUAGGCGGUUUGUCGCGUCUGCCGUGAAAGUCCGGGGCUCAACUCCGGAUCUGCGGUGGGUACGGGCAGACUAGAGUGAUGUAGGGGAGACUGGAAUUCCUGGAUGUAGCGGUGAAAUGCGCAGAUAUCAGGAGGAACACCGAGUGGCGAAGGCAGGUCUCUGGGCAUUAACUGACGCUGGAGGAGCGAAAGCAUGGGGAGCGAACAGG
rnacentral:rRNA from 1 species